CCUACGGGAGGCAGCAGUAGGGAAUCUUCCGCAAUGGACGAAAGUCUGACGGAGCAACGCCGCGUGAACGAUGAAGGCCUUCGGGUCGUAAAGUUCUGUUGUUAGGGAAGAACAAGUGCUAGUUAAAUAAGCUGGCACCUUGACGGUACCUAACCAGAAAGCCACGGCUAACUACGUGCCAGCAGCCGCGGUAAUACGUAGGUGGCAAGCGUUGUCCGGAAUUAUUGGGCGUAAAGCGCGCGCAGGCGGUUUCUUAAGUCUGAUGUGAAAGCCCCCGGCUCAACCGGGGAGGGUCAUUGGAAACUGGGAAACUUGAGUGCAGAAGAGGAAAGUGGAAUUCCAAGUGUAGCGGUGAAAUGCGUAGAGAUUUGGAGGAACACCAGUGGCGAAGGCGACUUUCUGGUCUGUAACUGACGCUGAGGCGCGAAAGCGUGGGGAGCAAACAGGAUUAGAUACCCUGGUAGUCCACGCUGUAAACGAUGAGUGCUAAGUGUUAGAGGGUUUCCGCCCUUUAGUGCUGAAGUUAACGCAUUAAGCACUCCGCCUGGGGAGUCGGUCGCAGACUGAAACUCAAAGGAAUUGACGG
rnacentral:rRNA from 1 species